rnacentral:lncRNA from 1 species
GGCAGCUCAGCUGCUGGAGGCUGCUGACUUCGCCGCUCAAAAACACCGACAGCAGCGACGGAAAGAUCCUGAAGGGACUCCCUACAUCAAUCACCCCAUCGGUGGGCGUGCCGGUUGGGAAGCAGUUCUCUCGGCGGGUGGGGACUGACUGGGACGAGAACACAGAGCGAGUAUAAAUUAUUGAGCGCCUUCUUCGAGUCCAAAGCGUUGUAUCAACCACUUUUCAUGCGUUAUGCCGUGUGUAGCCCGGAUCCUAACCCAUGAGGCUGGAAUCACUGAUAUUGUGGUGUUGCAGGUAACUUUACCCUUCUUUGCCAGGAGGCUGGUGUGGGGAAACGAGUACUGAUAAAAAAUGGGUGCCGUUUGGCUAGUAGGCAGUGUCACUAUGCUGAAUGGCCGCCUAUCCCCAGGCGGCCUUGCUCCAUGACACAGUAGAAGACACAGAUACUACCCUGGAUGAGGUAGAGCUGCACUUUGGAGCACAGGUUCGACGCUUGGUGGAGGAGGUAACAGAUGACAAGACUCUGCCCAAACUGGAAAGAAAGCGGCAACAGGUGGAACAGGCACCCCACAGCAGCCCAGGGGCCAAACUAGUGAAGCUGGCAGACAAGCUACACAAUCUAAGGGACCUGAAUCGCUGCACCCCUAAAGGCUGGUCAGAACAUCGAGUCCAGGAGUACUUCGAGUGGGCAGCACAGGUGGUAAAAGGGCUUCAAGGAACGAACCAGCAACUGGAAGAGGCACUAAAACAGCUGUUCGAGGAACGAGGGCUGACUCUCUGAGAGAGCCUCCAUGCAGUCCUGUGGCAUG